GCAGUCGAACGAACUCUGGUAUUGAUUGGUGCUUGCAUCAUGAUUUACAUUUGAGUGAGUGGCGAACUGGUGAGUAACACGUGGGAAACCUGCCCAGAAGCGGGGGAUAACACCUGGAAACAGAUGCUAAUACCGCAUAACAACUUGGACCGCAUGGUCCGAGUUUGAAAGAUGGCUUCGGCUAUCACUUUUGGAUGGUCCCGCGGCGUAUUAGCUAGAUGGUGGGGUAACGGCUCACCAUGGCAAUGAUACGUAGCCGACCUGAGAGGGUAAUCGGCCACAUUGGGACUGAGACACGGCCCAAACUCCUACGGGAGGCAGCAGUAGGGAAUCUUCCACAAUGGACGAAAGUCUGAUGGAGCAACGCCGCGUGAGUGAAGAAGGGUUUCGGCUCGUAAAACUCUGUUGUUAAAGAAGAACAUAUCUGAGAGUAACUGUUCAGGUAUUGACGGUAUUUAACCAGAAAGCCACGGCUAACUACGUGCCAGCAGCCGCGGUAAUACGUAGGUGGCAAGCGUUGUCCGGAUUUAUUGGGCGUAAAGCGAGCGCAGGCGGUUUUUUAAGUCUGAUGUGAAAGCCUUCGGCUCAACCGAAGAAGUGCAUCGGAAACUGGGAAACUUGAGUGCAGAAGAGGACAGUGGAACUCCAUGUGUAGCGGUGAAAUGCGUAGAUAUAUGGAAGAACACCAGUGGCGAAGGCGGCUGUCUGGUCUGUAACUGACGCUGAGGCUCGAAAGUAUGGGUAGCAAACAGGAUUAGAUACCCUGGUAGUCCAUACCGUAAACGAUGAAUGCUAAGUGUUGGAGGGUUUCCGCCCUUCAGUGCUGCAGCUAACGCAUUAAGCAUUCCGCCUGGGGAGUACGGCCGCAAGGCUGAAACUCAAAGGAAUUGACGGGGGCCCGCACAAGCGGUGGAGCAUGUGGUUUAAUUCGAAGCUACGCGAAGAACCUUACCAGGUCUUGACAUACUAUGCAAAUCUAAGAGAUUAGACGUUCCCUUCGGGGACAUGGAUACAGGUGGUGCAUGGUUGUCGUCAGCUCGUGUCGUGAGAUGUUGGGUUAAGUCCCGCAACGAGCGCAACCCUUAUUAUCAGUUGCCAGCAUUAAGUUGGGCACUCUGGUGAGACUGCCGGUGACAAACCGGAGGAAGGUGGGGAUGACGUCAAAUCAUCAUGCCCCUUAUGACCUGGGCUACACACGUGCUACAAUGGAUGGUACAACGAGUUGCGAACUCGCGAGAGUAAGCUAAUCUCUUAAAGCCAUUCUCAGUUCGGAUUGUAGGCUGCAACUCGCCUACAUGAAGUCGGAAUCGCUAGUAAUCGCGGAUCAGCAUGCCGCGGUGAAUACGUUCCCGGGCCUUGUACACACCGCCCGUCACACCAUGAGAGUUUGUAACACCCAAAGUCGGUGGGGUAACCUUUUAGGAACCAG
rnacentral:rRNA from 2 species